rnacentral:rRNA from 1 species
GUUAGGAAUAUUGGACAAUGGGCGAAAGCCUGAUCCAGCCAUGCCGCGUGAACGAUGAAGGCCUUCGGGUUGUAAAGUUCUUUAGCCGAUGAUUAUAAUGACUGUAGUCGGAAAAUAAGCCCCGGCUAACUUCGUGCCAGCAGCCGCGGUAAUACGAAGGGGACGAGCGUUAUUCGGAAUCACUGGGCGUAAAGCGUGCGUAGGCGGUUUUGUAAGUUAGGAGUGAAAGCCCAGGGCUCAACCUUGGAAUUGCUCUUAAAACUGCAAGGCUCGAAUCUCGGAGAGGAUAGCGGAAUUUCCAGUGUAGCAGUGAAAUGCGUAGAUAUUGGAAGGAACACCAGUGGCGUAAGCGGCUAUCUGGACGAGUAUUGACGCUGAGGCACGAAAGCGUGGGGAUCAAACAGGAUUAGAUACCCCUGUAGUCC